AGUAAUUAUUUAUUCAAGAAAUAAUUUAUUCAAGGAAUUAUUUAUUGAGUAAGUAAAAUAUAAUCCAGUAAACUCGGUUGGUCAAAUUUAAGGAGAAUAAACUCAUUGAUACUUUCUGGUGUUCCUAUCACAAGGAUUCUUAAACUAAUGAACAACAACAAAAAAUACUGACCAAUAAUGCUUCUCAGAGGUUAAUUUGGCACUUAAAUAAUGAACUU